rnacentral:rRNA from 1 species
UACGGAGGGUGCAAGCGUUGUCCGGAUUUAUUGGGUUUAAAGGGUGCGUAGGUGGCCUUAUAAGUCAGCGGAUGAAAGUCUGCAGCUUAACUGUAGAACUGCCAAUUGAUACUGUAAGGCUUGGAGUACUGAUGAGGUAGGCGGAAUUGAUGAGUGUAGCGGAUGAAAUGCAUAGAUAUUAUCAAGAACACCGAUUGCGAAGGCAGCUUACUAAGGAGUUACUGACACUGAGGCACGAAAGCGUGGGGAUCAAACAGG